CCAAUAGCGUAUAUUAAAGUUGUUGCAGUUAAAAAGCUCGUAGCUGAAUUUCAGGCCUGGCUGGACGGUACGCCCUUCGGGUGAGUACUGUCUGUGGUCGGGUCCUACCUUCUGGCGAAGCGUCAUGGCCUUAACCGGCCGUGGCGGGGAACCAGGACUUUUCCUGUGAAAAAAUUAGAGUGUUCAAAGCAGGCAAUCGCUUGGAUACAUUAGCAUGGAAUAAUGGAAUAGGACAAUGGUUCUAUUUGUUGGUUUCUAGGACCGUUGUAAUGAUUAAUAGGGAUAGUUGGGGGCAUUAGUAUUCAAUUGUCAGAGGUGAAAUUCUUGGAUUUAUUGAAGACUGACUACUGCGAAAGCAUUUGCCAAGGAUGUUUUCAUUAAUCAAGAACGAAAGUUAGGGGAUCGAAGACGAUCAGAUACCGUCGUAGUCUUAACCAUAAACUAUGCCGACUAGGAAUCGGGCGAUGUUGAAAAAAUGACGCGCUCGGCACCUCAUG
rnacentral:rRNA from 1 species